AUUGAACGCUGGCGGCAUGCCUUACACAUGCAAGUCGAACGGUAACGGGCCUUCGGGUGCCGACGAGUGGCGGACGGGUGAGUAAUACAUCGGAACGUGCCCGAUCGUGGGGGAUAACGAGGCGAAAGCUUUGCUAAUACCGCAUACGAUCUACGGAUUAAAGCAGGGGACCGCAAGGCCUUGCGCGGACGGAGCGGCCGAUGGCAGAUUAGGUAGUUGGUGGGAUAAAAGCUUACCAAGCCGACGAUCUGUAGCUGGUCUGAGAGGAUGAUCAGCCACACUGGGACUGAGACACGGCCCAGACUCCUACGGGAGGCAGCAGUGGGGAAUUUUGGACAAUGGGCGCAAGCCUGAUCCAGCCAUGCCGCGUGCAAGAUGAAGGCCUUCGGGUUGUAAACUGCUUUUGUACGGAACGAAAAGCCUUCUUUUAAUACAGGAGGGUCAUGACGGUACCGUAAGAAUAAGCACCGGCUAACUACGUG
rnacentral:rRNA from 1 species